CCUACGGGAGGCAGCAGUAGGGAAUCUUCCGCAAUGGACGAAAGUCUGACGGAGCAACGCCGCGUGAGCGAAGAAGGCCUUCGGGUCGUAAAGCUCUGUUGUUAGGGAAGAACAAGUAACGCAGUAACUGGCGUUACCGUGACGGUACCUAACGAGAAAGCCACGGCUAACUACGUGCCAGCAGCCGCGGUAAUACGUAGGUGGCAAGCGUUGUCCGGAAUUAUUGGGCGUAAAGCGCGCGCAGGCGGUUCCUUAAGUCUGAUGUGAAAGCCCACGGCUCAACCGUGGAGGGUCAUUGGAAACUGGGGGACUUGAGUGCAGAAGAGGAGAGCGGAAUUCCACGUGUAGCGGUGAAAUGCGUAGAGAUGUGGAGGAACACCAGUGGCGAAGGCGGCUCUCUGGUCUGUAACUGACGCUGAGGCGCGAAAGCGUGGGGAGCAAACAGGAUUAGAUACCCUGGUAGUCCACGCCGUAAACGAUGAGUGCUAAGUGUUAGAGGGUAUCCGCCCUUUAGUGCUGUAGCUAACGCAUUUAGCACUCCGCCUGGGGAGUACGCUCGCAAGAGUGAAACUCAAAGGAAUUGACGG
rnacentral:rRNA from 1 species